GGGGGCUGCUGUGUUUAUCCAAGUGCUCCAGCGGCUGCGGGAGUUUUCUGCUUGUGUUUAUAUUUUCAGAAGGGGGCUGAAGAGCUAUGCCCAGACUGGAGCACGAGUCUGCUUGCUGGUGUGUUUCUCAGUCCAGUUUGAUUUUUUAAAGGUACCCUCCAUGGGACAGAACUCUGCUUACAAACUUUAAAACUGGAUGAUGCAAAAAUUACCUGCACAGCAGAGGAGGACAACGAACCAUAGUAAGUUUAAGUGAUGGAUUCUUUAAUCUAUCAUUAAUUUGUACAGAUAAGUCAAAGAAAGGUAGUAGCAGAUACGGAGCCCUCGCCGUGUACGCAACGCUUGACAUCCUUUCUCACUGAGUCCCCACAGUAGACCUAGUGCUGCCAUUUUGCAGGAUGGGCUGAGUGUUCAUAUUGCCUCACCUUUCAUCAAAGCACCAUCUGGGAACCAGAACUUGGCAUUUGAGAAAAAUCAGAGAUGACUAAGAAUAAGAACAAUCUCAUCAGGAGAAGAGCCGUUGAUCUCCUGUUCCUCUUCUAGAAGUUGGUACCAGUUGAAACUAAAGGAGGGUGUGCAUGAACUAUGGCAGAUCCAGAAUAUUCUGUUUCAUUUUCAGUUGACCUGAUGCAUACAUACGGCCCUGUUCCCAGUGGGCAGGCAAGCCUGGAUCUUUCUCCACAUGGUGCCAGUCAAUGGUUCAAUCCAAAAGUAUUAAUGUCAGCCAAGUCAUAUCAAAGUUCCUGCCUUAUCUAGAUGAGACUUCCACCACAGAUCUUACAGAUGAUCUUAUACAACAUAUAUGUCCAUUUCAAAUUGAGAAAACUGAGGCUGGGAGGGUAACUAACUGGUCUGAGGGCCUCUAACAAGUCUGUGGUCAAUUAGCAAGAGCUCUCUGUCAGCUCACCUCUGUGCAGUGUGCCAAGGCCACACUCAGACCCACACUGACAUUGUACAAAAACUAAAAUGAACGAUUCCCAGAGUUCUCCAACUAAACUUUCUGUUUUAGAUGAAGGACAAUAAUACAGACAAAAUGAAAAUUAC
rnacentral:lncRNA from 1 species